UCCGCUUCAGUCCUGGGCCAAUGGCGCAACAGAGCAGCAUUAUCAUACUGAUCCCCGGCUGACCAAUGGCGCGCGCCUCCCCGGCUCACAUGACGCCUUUCUGUGCGCUCCCUCUCCUCUCAGCGCUCAAUCCCGGCGAGUGCAGGCAUCACUGAAGACCUGACACCGGCGGAAUCGGACGUUCGCUGUCUUCAGCAGAAAUAACCAGGUGUUAUCUUAUGCAAACUUUUUUUAUCGCUAUCAAGACGAUGCCGGCCGUCCUUUUGAUGAGAAUGCCUCUUCUUCGCUGGAGGAACAGACUUUUUCCGUCUCCAAACGAGCAGAGAGGCGCAGGGGCGAGACAAUAACGCCCAGAAGUUAUUGAAAUGAAUCGUCAUGAAAGGAGCUGGCAUGAGAAAAAGCAGAAGAAACAGAUCAAGCAUUAGCAGCAUUAGCCGUCGCUGCAGAAAGAAAGGGAAGCAAUGAAGGAAAGACAAAGUGAUUGAAAAAAGAGGUAAGAGCGUUCUGUUCGCCCCUGGGUGUUACAUUGUCUCGUGUGUGUCUUUCCUCUGUUGCCCUUCAACAUGUUUGCCUGAGUCAGUUGUGUACCUGCGUGGGUUUGGUGUUUGCAUGUGAGUGUCUUUUUGUAAUAUGAUUGAAUGCAGCUUUGUUUGAUUGUGUCUGUGUGUGUGUCUUUGUGUGCGUGUGUGUCUUUGUGUGCGUGUGUGUGUGUUCCUGGCAUCGAGCCACAGCUGCCAGGUGAGGAACGACCAUCCUGCCUGAGUCACCUGCUACAUCCUUAACUUCUUUGUUGUCUUUCUUCCACCCACACUCAUGUCUCUGUUCUGAAGAAACCAACUGCCACUUUCAUUGAUAAAUAUCUUCAUUUUUACUCUGAGGAAGUUACAUACAGUUCUUCUUAACAGGCAUUGUCUACUCUUUUUUUUUUUAAUGGCUUAACAACAGAUUCCUAAUUUUGAUAAACAAAUGAAUUUAUUCUCAAAAUGUAUGUACCAAUCGAUGUUCAGGAACCAAUUUACACUCAAACCCCUUAAAUUCACCUGAGAAGUGUCAGAAAUUAUACCUACAAUACCACUUUUUGUUGUAUUUCACUGAUACUUUUUUAAUUUGUGCUUUAUAUCAGUCCAAAGUUAAGCAAAAUGUGUUAAUACGGAAAUAGCUUCAUCUGUAUUGAUCCUAUUGAACCUAAAUCCUCAUCGUGACAGCAUAUCACUGCUUAAAACUCCACCUGUGUUAUUUAAUGAUGUUAAUCCCAUGUUCCUGUUUCAUGUCAAAACUAGAAAACCCAUCUCCUGUUUAAGGUUGGGAUCUUUUCUCUCCAGCAUCCAUUAGAAUAUGAAAAAAAAAAUCCAACAAUUUUUGGCAAUGCAGGGAGUUAAAAAUAUAACCAUUACCUCUGAGGAGAGCAACGCCAAAAGGCAAAACACAGGAGUUAAAACUGGGAACAGAGCCACCUUAUUGUCUCGGCUGAGUUUGAGCGGGUUCCCAAAGUGAGCGGUCUCUUAGAGAGUCUCUCUCUCUCUCUGUGUGAGCCUGAGAGCAGCGCUUAAUCAUUUUCCACCACACAGGCACGGCCAGAAUGGCUGCCACAGUACACAGAUAGGAGGGACGGUUUAAGAAGAGAAGCAGUGAGAGGAGAAGAAAUUGUUUUUUUCCUCAGUUCUCAUCAGACUCCAUUCUUACGAGACUCUCUUUAACCUCUUCAUCCCACCCAGAGGUUAAUUAGUAAUGAUUUGAAUUUUUCCAGGAUUUCUCACAUUUAGACAUAGAGUAUUCUUUGCAGUUCGUACAAAUCUUUUACCGUCUGAUUCUGUUUUUUUUUACUUUUUUAGUUUUAUCAUAAAAUGGGAAUAUCUAAGUCAGUUUUUUUAUUUUCUUUGGUGAAUGAAUCUGUAACUCUUCUCCUUUUCCAUCUCUCUCCAACUCCCCGAGCAAAACUCACAAAGCGACCUCCACCUCACAUUAACUUGGCAGAAGACAGCACAAAUUCAAUUCAGCUCAUUUCAGUUCGCCUCAACUCACUUCAUAACAACCCAGUCGAACUCAAUUCUCUCUCCAAGCUCUCCCUCUUGUCUCGUACUCUCACUCAUUUAUUUUCAGUCCAACUGAGUCGUGCAAUCUUCUGUCUUUUCUCACAUUUUCAAAUCCCUUCAGUUCUUUCUCUCUUGUGCAGCCUCUAAGAAUACUCACAUUUCAGUUACAAGGCCCAAUCUUUACAGCGUACAUCCAUCCAAAAAAUAAAGGGCACGCCACCUUUUUAUUUAAAAAAAAACCAGGAAGAGAUGAUAAUGAAGAAGAUUAUGAUGGUUGUUUGAGUGUAGAGUAAUGGUUUUGGAGAAUGUGAAACUAUCCUCCAAGGAGCAGUCAAGUGCAAAUGAUAAUCUAUUUUUAGAAUUCCUCACAUUUCAACUCCAUGCUCAAAUCAUCCCAAUUGGACAAGGAGAUGUUGUUUUAUAAAGGAAAUGGUUUUGAACUCCUUUGAAGAAGAAUUUUGUUUUGUUUUUUUAUUUCAUCACUCUGAUGAUGGAUGUGCCAUACAUCAACCAACUGGGACUGCUGGAGUCACACGUUGUACAACUACACACAACUCCGUUGUUUUGGCCCUGGUGAAAUGAUGCAAGUGAAGUCUGGGGUAGAAAGAAAAGGGAAAAAGGUGGAGGAUGUUGUAAGCACGUAUCCAGACAUGCCACUUCUCUUUCUUCUCUCCUCCCUUUUUUUUUUUUUCUUCCUCCCAAGUGUGUCUGUCCUCGGCUGUGGAGGAAGACUCUCUUUCAGGAGCAGCCAAGUCUGUCUAAGCUGGACUUAAAAAGCGACCAGGCUCAAGGGGUGGUUCUCUUUUUGGUGUCCAUUUGUGUAUAUGGAGGCGGGGAGUUGCAAGGCUGAAGCCACAGUGUCACAUGGUUUCAUAUUUCAAGAAGCGUGUUUAAGAAAAUGACAGGCAAAUGAGUCACUCCGUCAAGUCGUAUUGAUUCACUGCAGGACUCUGGGACAAGGCGAGUAAUUGUCAGUUUCACGCUCACGCUAAAUAACAGGCAGCUGAUGGACGAUGGAUUCCAAUGAUGGGGUAUAAUCAGCCGGGGAACGGGCAUAAAAGCCUGAUGGACAAGUGCCGAAAAUGGUAACAUUGGUGUCCCCACAAAGGAAGGCCUAGACAACGAGUGCCCCCCCCCCCUCCUCCUCCUCCUUCAGCAAAGACACCCAUCAACCAGCAGAGGAUUAAAGAUCAGGACGAGAGCUUUUAUUGAGUUUAAAGCCACAAUGAGAGUGUGAUAAGGAUGAGGGGCAGAGGUAGGACAUUAAAACAGACAGGACAGAAUAUCAAAGAGUGCGGGAAUCAACAAGAAAGAAAAAAUGGAUGCUGGUUGGUGAGGAUUUCAAAGUGAGUAUUAUCUGUGAGAGAGGGAACCAAAAAGGGGAGCGAGAGA